CAAACUAUAAGAGUUUGAUCCUGGCUCAGGAUGAACGCUGGCGGCGUGCCUUAUACAUGCAAGUCGAGGGGGUUAGACCCCCGGCGAACGGGUGAGUAAUACAUAGGUACUUUGCCUUGGCGGAGGAUAACCAGCCGAAAGGUUGGACAAUACUCCAUGUGAUCGCAAGAUCAAAGCUUGUCCCAGCACAAAAGCGGGGAUCGGCACCAAGGAAUAGGCCUGUGUCCUAUCAGCUAGUUGGUGAGGUAACGGCCCACCAAGGCUAUGACGGGUAGCUGGUCUGAGAGGAUGAUCAGCCACAAUGGGACUGCGACACGGCCCAUACUCCUACGGGAGGCAGCAGUAGGGAAUUUUGGACAAUGGGGGAAACCCUGAUCCAGCGACGCCGCGUGCGGGAUGAAGGCCUUCGGGUUGUAAACCGCUUUUGUAGGGGAAGAAUUUCUGACUGUACCCUGCGAAUAAGAGGUUGCUUACUCUGUGCCAGCAGCAGCGGUAAUACAGAGACCUCAAGCGUUAUCCGGAAUCAUUGGGCGUAAAGCGUACCGAUAGGUGGUUUUGUUAGUGUCUGGUUAAAUUUAGGGGCUCAACUCCUAAACCGCUAGGCAUACUGCAAGACUAGAGGAACAAAGAGGAAGCUGGAACGAACGGUGUAGCAGUGAAAUGCGUUGAUAUCGUUCGGAACACCGAUAGCGAAGGCAGGCUUCUGGAUGUUUCCUGACACUGCUAGGACGAAAGCGUGGGGAGCGAAUGGGAUUAGAUACCCCAGUAGUCCACGCUGUAAACGAUGCUGACUAGGCACGAGAGAGUAUCGACCCUCUUUCGCGCCGAAGCUAACGCGUUAAGUCAGCCGCCUGGGGAGUACGGUCGCAAGACUAAAACUCAAAGGAAUUGACGGGGAUCCGCACAAGCGGUGGAGCAUGUGGUUUAAUUCGACGAUAAGCGA
rnacentral:rRNA from 1 species